rnacentral:lncRNA from 1 species
CGGCCCCGCCGCCCGCGAGCAGAGGAUCCAGCUGUGCGCUCUGCCCCGCCAGAUGUGCGCGCUGCGGGGCAGGGCCCUUCUCAGAUCAGUAAUCGACGAAGUGCCUUCGCAGACUUUUGCCAGCAGAUGUUAAUCAAUCAUUAUUUUUUUAUACUGAAACUGAGACUUUGACUGUGCCAUGUCUAAAGUGACCCAAAAACCUGGCUGCUUUGGAAAGUGGAUAGUAUUGGCAAGCAAAGAAAUAUGAGUGGUGUUUUGCACCUCGAGACUUCCCUCUGCCCCGCCUGGAGUGCCCUCAGCUUGCUGGCAGCCUGGCCAGGUUGGCCGUGGUGGUGUCACAGGCCUUUGCCAACCAGAGCCAACCAGAUCUGUGCAAGCCUUCAGAGCACAAAGCCCUGAUAAGAAGGAUCCCUAACAGGGUGAACCACAAAGCUGAGAGAGCUGCUGCUUUGCUCAGAGUCUGGAGACUUGGGGAAAGAAGUUUUUCUGAUGUCAGUGUUGAAGAAGAUGCCUGGAUGUCCUCAGGGGAGCAGAGGUUCACACAGGAACCCACAGGCUGAAGGCAGCAGGGGAGCGAUGAGCUUUGCAAAUCUCCUCCUCGCAGGAUGAAUUUCAUCUAAAUUUCAUAUAAAAUGAACCCGAGCUCCUGGAACUGCUGCUCAAAAGGAACAACAAACCCACCCUGCCUCUGGAAAGCUGAAUUUUCCAUGCCACUUCAUACUUGGGAAAGGAACAGUGGAUUUUAGGAUGGGAGUUACAAAGCGAGUGGAUGCUAGAGAUGGACAACCAAAGAAAUGCUGAGACCCAAAGGCUGCAGUGCCUGGUGUAAAUAAAUCCUAAAUACAUCCUCA